rnacentral:rRNA from 1 species
UCCUACGGGAGGCAGCAGCGGGGAAUAUUGGACAAUGGGCGAAAGCCUGAUCCAGCCAUGCCGCGUGUGUGAAGAAGGUCUUCGGAUUGUAAAGCACUUUAAGUUGGGAGGAAGGGUUGUAGAUUAAUACUCUGCAACUUUGACGUUACCGACAGAAUAAGCACCGGCUAACUCUGUGCCAGCAGCCCGCGGUA